rnacentral:rRNA from 1 species
AUACGGAGAGGGCAAGCGUUGUUCGGAUUUAUUGGGCGUAAAGCGCGCGUAGGCGGUGCAGUAAGUCGGAUGUUAAAGACCCACGGCUCACCCGGGGGAAUGCGUCCGAAACUGCUGUGCUGGAGUGUGGAAGAGGAGAGUGGAAUUCCUGGUGUAGCGGUGAAAUGCGUAGAUAUCAGGAGGAACACCGGUGGCGAAGGCGGCUCUCUGGUCCAUAACUGACGCUGAGGUGCGAAAGCGUGGGGAGCGAACGGGAUUAGAUACCCCGGUAGUCCACGCCGUAAACGUUGGAUACUAGGUGUGGGAGGUUUUCUACCCCUUCCGUGCCGCAGUUAACGCAUUAAGUAUCCCGCCUGGGGAGUACGGUCGCAAGACUGAA